rnacentral:lncRNA from 10 species
UGUUGGGUAAUACAGAAAUAAAAACAUCUAUCAAGAAGGCAUUUUAAAAAUUAGAAUUUGUAAUUCUUAGAAAAUUUCCCAGGAAGUUAUCAGUAAAAUAUCUAUAAUGUAUUAUUACCCUUAUUCAUAAUGCUUAUUUUAAAAUGAUGUCUACAGAUGGUUGCUGACUUAACAACAGUUUGACUUAUGAUUUUUUGACUUUCAGGACAUAAUCCCAUCAUAAGUGGACAAGCAUCUGGACUUUUAUGCCUGGCACAAAUACAAAUGCUUUUGUAUUUGUAUAUGACUUACAUAGUGCAUCUUAUUGUAAUUAUUGUAUACACGGAUCUCUUCUCUACUAGCCUUGUGCUCCUUCUUAGCAGGUACCAUGUCUCCUCUAUAUCCCUAGAGCCUAGCACAGCCCUGGGACAUAGUAGGGGCUGAAUGAAUUUUGAUGGAUCAACCUGACCUGGACAGACCUAUCAUGAACCUGUUUCUACAACACUCUGUACCUUUUCUGGUAGAAUUAAUUUUAAUCAAUUUUUGGUCAUUGUCAUUGCUACUUACUUCCUCUUCAGUAUUAGGUUUUGAUCUUAUCACUAAGAGAAACAGUGUAUUUUCAUGGCAAGGCACAGAGUCUGCUAGACUAAAAAUCUGCCUUUGUAUUAUUAGAUGUGUGACUUUGUGCAAGUUAUUUAAUGUCCCCAUGUCUCAAUGUCUUUAUCUGUAAAAUGGAGAUAUUGACAGUACUCACCUCAUGGGGGUUUGUGGAGGAAAAAUUGUAGCUAAGUAAUGUUAUGGUUUUAAUGUGUCCCGUCUAAAAUUCAGGUGUUGAAACUUAAUGGCCAAUGUGAUAGCAUUAAGAGGUAAGCCCUUUAAGAGAUGAUUAAGCCGUGAGGGCUCCUCCCUCCUAAAAGGGAUUAAGGCCUUUACGAAAGAGGCUUCAUGCAGUGUUUGGCUUUCUUGCCUUUCUACAUUCUGUCAUGUGAAGACAGUGCUCCUCUCCUCUGCACGAAUCAGCAACAUGACACCAUCUUGGAAGCAGAGAGCAGCCCUAACCAGAUAACCAAAUCUGUUGGCACCGUUAUCUUAGAUUUCCCAGUCUCCAGAGCUGUGAGAAAAUUAAUUUCUGUUAUUUAUAAAUUAGUCUCCAGUAUUUGUUAUAGCAGCACAAAACAGAUGGACUAAGACAGACAUCUGAUGAGUUUAACACAGUACCUUGCACAUGAUGUCUUGAAAAAGCUUUCUGGGUUUAGACAUGGAAGAUUGGAAAUUGGAGGACAAGAAGCCUGGAUAUAGCUACCCCUCUCUUUUUCUCUGGAUUGGGGAGAGCCCCUUCUCGCAGUGAGUAUGUCUAGUCAUAGUGAUAGCUUUUGCAGGACUGGCCAUCUAUCACUGUUCCAGCCCUCCCUCAGCACCCUCUUUUUUUUUUUUUUUUUUUUUUGGUCUCUUUGGGCCUAGAGGUGGUUACAGCCUUCUUCUGUUGCUAAUUUCUGGGUUUUUCAGCUCUUCCAAACAGCUAUCCAGUAUGCAAGUCUUUCUGUUGGCUUAACUGGCAUGAACUCUGAUGUUCACAAUAGGGUAUUCAGGAAUUUUAGCAAUUUAAAUAGAUAAGCAGAAACCUUUGUGUUUUUAUUUCUGUGUAGAAGGUACAUAGCAGAUAAUACAGAAGUUUCUGAAAUUUUUUUCCUUUGAGUACGGGGAGUAAUGCUUUAUUUCUUAGAUCACUUCUAAGGAUUUAGGUGCUUUAGACAAGGAUUUAUGUUGCUCUAACUUUUCUCUUAUCAAAAUUCCCUUGCCCCUUCUCUGUAGCUGAAAAUUUGCAUAACCACACUUUUAUAGUUGAUGGGUAAAAGGGCAGAGGAGAGAGAAUGUAGAGCCUCUGAACAUCCCGCUUGUCAGCUCAGAGACUCUACUUCAACCUCAGGUACUUCUGAGUUGAUUUUUAACUUUCCUGGAAUAAGGAGUAGCUUUUCUCAAAAAGGGGUGGGAGUUUUGGUGAACUGGUAAGAGAGCAUUUGUUACAAACAGAGGAGGGGACCCAUCAUAGCUGUGAAAGAUCUUUCUUCUCCUGAACUGAUCUUUUCUUUCAUAGGGAAGUAUAUUAAAAGUAUUGAUUUAUACAAUGAGAAUGUUAUCAAUAGUGAGCUGCUCAGAGUGUUCUGGAUAUAUGUACUACUAAUCUUAAGCAAAGAAAGUGCCAGAAGUAGUGGCCAAGAACACCAGGUUCUUGUUUACUGUUAUCUGAUUGAUGUACUCCCAGGGGCUGGAUUGAGUGCAUUUGCUGCCUCCAGGAUAUAUUUUUGAUUGCCUCUAAUUCCUGUAGGCUCUUUUGAAAGAACACAAAGUCAGAUAAACGGGCAAUGGUGAUUUCAGCCAGAGGAGGACUAAUGCCUUCCAUUUAAUAGUAUAAUUCUUGAUAGAAUAGGAUGCUUUUUGGAGAUAAAGGGCCAAGGGACCACACCUAUUAAUUCCCAAGAUGCUCUAGAUUUAUAGCCAAAUAAAUUCUUGCAGUAAAGGGAAACUCAAUAACAACAACAACAAAAUUCUCCCAAUUUUCAAUGAGAUGAUAUUUCCUGCCAGUAACUUCAUAACUUUCACAUAACUUAAAUUUAUGGUUUGAGAUAAUUUUUUGAAGGGAAAAAUAAAUUGCUACUAAAUUUUGGCAUAGGUCUUAUGGUUUUUUGGACAUAUUCUGUAAACAUUGUUAUAAAGAUUAUUUAGAAAAUUCUUCACAGCUCUACAUGUAUAUAUGUAUUUUUACCAUUUUCAUUGCCAAAAUAAACUAGCCCAGGGUCAACAGAUGUCUUUCAGUCUCAGUCUUUUUUGGUGUUGUUUUAAACAUUUCCUUAGAAUCUUAUCUGGGGAAGUCUUCCAGAAGACCAGUGGUGGUUUUAUUGAAUUAAAGGCUUAGAGGCUAAAGUUCAGCUCAGUAAACAUUUGUUUAUUAUCUACUUUGUGCCAGUGAUUUAGGAUAUUUAAGAUGAGUAAGGGAAGUUCCCAGGAGAGUGGGUUUUCUAAUUUUAGCUUUUAUCAGAAUCACCUGGAGAACUUGUUACACCAUGGAUUGCUGGGCCCCACUCCCAGAGUUUCUGAUUCAACAGGUCUAAAGAGGGGACUAAAAAUUUGCAUACCUAAGACUUUGCCAAGUGAUGUUGAUGCAGGCAGUCUGUGGAUCAUGAAAAAAAUCCAAAAAAUAGAUGAUUAAAUUGUGACAUAUAUGCUUAAGAAUUCACAAGGAUACACAAGGUGGGAUUAAUGAGAGUGUGAUUAAGUGUAUUGUAGGAGGGAGGUGGUGAUCAGGGAAAGAUUCUGGCCAAGAGUGACACCUGAGCAGGAUUUGGAAGUGUAGUUGGAAUUCAGAGAGAAACAAUAUGGGAUGGAGAAGGAAUUUUUGUUCAGUAGCAAUGUACAGAAAUGUACAGAGGCGUGACAGAGUAUGAUUUAUUCAUUCAUUCAACACAUUUUAGAUAACUAUCAAUUACAUCUUGAGAAUAAGGUGGUAACAAAUGUGUUUGCAGAAACACUCACUAGCAGAUGACUUGUCUGGAGCAUUAGUAGCAAUGUGGAAUGAUAAGAGAUGGACCUGGAAAAAUGGUCCGGGGGGCCAUUAGUGACUUGUAGAUGACAUAGGCCAUACUAAGGAGCUUGGAUUUUAACUUGUAGAUAAUGCAGAGUAUUUUGGUAAGAUCACUCUGGCAGCAAUGCAGAGGAUGCAUUUGAGGAAGACAGAACAUUCUAAUACUGGGGUAAGAGAGACCAGAAAGAAGGCUAUUGCAAUAAUCUGGGCAAGGGAUGAUAAAGGACCCAGCAAAGUUUGUGAGUGAGCCAUAUGACAUUUAAACAUAGGUUUAAUGCAUUUUUCCCCUCCAUAAGCCCUCCACCUGUCUCCCUCUCUCAUUAGAAUGAUAAUUGUUUUGAGGUUAGGUGUUAAUUUUAGAUCAAAUGUUGUAUGGCUAUACAUGGGCUCAAUCAGUAUGAAGGAAAGUUACUCUUAUAUAAACACCUAAGCAAGUAACAGGAAAUAAGUUAGUCAAUUAGGGAAACAAAUUUGACUAGGUAUUUUAUGAAUGUCUUAAGAGCCAUCUUUGAAUAAGUUAUUUCCUGUUAAGCUGUUGUAUUUAAGUUUAGCCAGUAGCUCUACUGGCAUUGUAAAUUUAAAACUGUCUUCAGAUAUUGUGGAAUAGUUUGGGGCAUUGGUAAAAUUUUAUAUAGAAUACAGAACACAGAGCCUGGUUUUUCUUCUGCUAACCCCAUGGAAUAUCCAAUCAAGAUGGAUUUCUGGCCUCCAUAACUGAGAAAAUACAUUUCUGUUGUUUAAAACACCUGGUCUGUGGAACUUUGUUACUGCAGCCCUGGCACAGCUGAGAAGUUGAUUUUUCACCAACCAGGCUGAUACCAUGAUUUUGAUCUUGGGAGACCACGUGGAAUUCUGAUCUACAGAUCUGUGAAAUAAUAGAUGGAUGUUUUAAGCUGAUAAAUUUGUGAUAUUCUGUUAUGCAGCAAUAGAAAACUAUAUAAACUAUA